rnacentral:rRNA from 1 species
GGAUAACUCCGGGAAACCGGGGCUAAUACCGGAUAACUCAGUUCCUCGCAUGAGGAACGGUUGAAAGGUGGCUUUUUGCUACCACUUACAGAUGGACCCGCGGCGCAUUAGCUAGUUGGUGAGGUAACGGCUCACCAAGGCGACGAUGCGUAGCCGACCUGAGAGGGUGAUCGGCCACACUGGGACUGAGACACGGCCCAGACUCCUACGGGAGGCAGCAGUAGGGAAUCUUCCGCAAUGGACGAAAGUCUGACGGAGCAACGCCGCGUGAGUGAAGAAGGUUUUCGGAUCGUAAAACUCUGUUGUUAGGGAAGAACAAGUGCCGUUCAAAUAGGGCGGCACCUUGACGGUACCUAACCAGAAAGCCACGGCUAA